rnacentral:snoRNA from 1 species
AAGUGACAUGAUGGCAAUCAUCUUUCGGGACUGACCUGAAAUGAAGAGAAAACUGUGCUGAUCACUU